UUGGUUAUUCAUGAGAGGGUUUUUGUGGGUUAAGUCCCCCGUGUGUGUAAACGGUUUCAUUUCUCUUCAAGAUGCGGACGACUCCAGAGACAGAGAAUAUCCCGCUCAGAAAUGCAGGACAGAUGCCGGGAAGUCCAGAAGAAUGACACGUCUGCAUUACUUGUGACAUGACUUCCUGACUUCAAGGCAUCUGAACAGAAUCUCCACUUGGAGUUCCAUUCUGGAAUAGGAAUGUGUGCUGAAUACCUGAUUCCAGACCCUUGAGACUGAUGCGCUUUGUGUGAAAAUCCAGGGUUUGGGUGCUGUGGUCCGUGGCAUUGCAGCGUGGACUCCAACGUACUGGUUCUUCUGUAUGUGGCUGAACAGGGAGCCGUGAUGCCAACUAGACUGGUCCUGAUGGUGGUACCAGACUGGUCACUAGAAGAUGCCUGGUACUGAACUACCUCAAGGUCCUGACUGUUGUACCAGACUGGCCACUAGAAGGAAGCUCUUUGCUGUGACAGUGAAUGAAGUUGAUGUCCUUGUGGGUCUGCAGUCUUCAGGAAGGUCUUGACUGUUCCAGCCUGGCCACUGGAGAACUGUUGCUGCACGACCUCAAGGUUUUCUGCCCCUCUGGUUGAGGUGCUGGUGUCUGCAGGGUUUGGAAAGAUCUGAUUGGCUGCUGAAGUGUUGCUGUGCUGGUGGAGUGGGAAGCUCUCCUGUUUUACACCGGCAAGACCUCUUACACUCCUGAUUGGUCAGCAAGGAACUGGGGGAAACCAGGCCAAGUCAAUUCAACCCUGUGACUGUGUUUUGAUGUAUGAAUAAAUCUACAAAUGUUUAUG